AAAAGUUAAAACCGAAAAAGGUGAUCGGCGAACGCUAUUGGGUAUGAUAUGUCGAGUACUUCAGAAGAUUGAGGUGGAGAAGGGGUGGUCGUAUGGCCGACAUAGACAGUGUACACGAGUCUCAUGGAACUGUUAGUAGUCGUUCACCGGAUAAUUCGGAAAUUGGCCCAUUUAGAAAAGAAACACACUUUAAAGCUGACGUUGAUGGCAUGUCGAGCGUGUGGAUUAAGUUCCGGGAACACGGAUUUUCGCGAGAUGUAUUGCAGAUCAUUAAAGAAUGGUGGGGAAUCAAUAGACCGUUCUCGUUGCGUAAUGGACGAGCGUCUGUGUUAAAAAGUUUUCAUCCAACUGUAAAUGAUGUAUUAAAUUUUUUAUCAACCUUAUACAGGAUAUAAUUAAGUUACAGUUGCAUUAACAUUGCCAGGUCAGCAUUGAUAUUUUUUUUAAAAAAAAGAUUGAUGUCAGAAAACAGUCAUUAGUCUCGAGAUUUAUGAAAGGUAUUUUUCAUAUUAGCCCUAUAGUAUCUCGAUACAAUGCGAUUCGAGAUGUGUCAGCGUUGUUUUUAUUUUUAUUUUUAGUGUAUAAGGAAUAUGAAAUAGUUAGCAUUAAAAUCUAUCACUGUAAUGACACUUGUUUUAUCCCAAUGAGUACAGUCUAUUAAUAAUAUAUAUAUAUGUACCAUAUGAUAGUUGACGAUUCGAAAUAUAUAAUUUAUUAAGGAGAGACUUAGAAAAAGUUUCCUAGGGAAGGACAAUUGUGUAUUUUUGAAUCUUUGCCUGGAUAUUUGCAACGUACAAGAUGUGUUAGACAAAGUAUUUAUUGGUUAUUUGAAACCCUACAAGCAAAUAAGCACAAGUAAUAUAAUUGCAAGAUAGAUUAAGACAUGUUUGGGUUCGUCAGGAAUCGAUAUCAGGAAAUUCCCGGCACAUGGACUAGAGCUGCUUCCUUCUCAGCUGUUCUCUAAAUUCUGAACAAAACACGAUAGAAUUCAGAAGAAAAACGUUUCUCAGAAACUACAAUCUGGAUUUUGGAAAAUUAAAAUCAAACAGCUGAAAUUUGAUGAUGAAUUUCUUUGUAUUUUUGAGUUUUAAAAUUGCAAAGUUCUGAAGUGAAUAAAAUAAGUUAACAGUA